CAGGAGUUUUUUAAAUCUGGCUCAGGAUGAACGCUGGCGGCGUGCUAAUACAUGCAAGUCGAGCGAACGGACGAGAAGCUUGCUUCUCUGAUGUUAGCGGCGGACGGGUGAGUAACACGUGGAUAACCUACCUAUAAGACUGGGAUAACUUCGGGAAACCGGAGCUAAUACCGGAUAAUAUUUUGAACCGCAUGGUUCAAAAGUGAAAGACGGUCUUGCUGUCACUUAUAGAUGGAUCCGCGCUGCAUUAGCUAGUUGGUAAGGUAACGGCUUACCAAGGCAACGAUGCAUAGCCGACCUGAGAGGGUGAUCGGCCACACUGGAACUGAGACACGGUCCAGACUCCUACGGGAGGCAGCAGUAGGGAAUCUUCCGCAAUGGGCGAAAGCCUGACGGAGCAACGCCGCGUGAGUGAUGAAGGUCUUCGGAUCGUAAAACUCUGUUAUUAGGGAAGAACAUAUGUGUAAGUAACUGUGCACAUCUUGACGGUACCUAAUCAGAAAGCCACGGCUAACUACGUGCCAGCAGCCGCGGUAAUACGUAGGUGGCAAGCGUUAUCCGGAAUUAUUGGGCGUAAAGCGCGCGUAGGCGGUUUUUUAAGUCUGAUGUGAAAGCCCACGGCUCAACCGUGGAGGGUCAUUGGAAACUGGAAAACUUGAGUGCAGAAGAGGAAAGUGGAAUUCCAUGUGUAGCGGUGAAAUGCGCAGAGAUAUGGAGGAACACCAGUGGCGAAGGCGACUUUCUGGUCUGUAACUGACGCUGAUGUGCGAAAGCGUGGGGAUCAAACAGGAUUAGAUACCCUGGUAGUCCACGCCGUAAACGAUGAGUGCUAAGUGUUAGGGGGUUUCCGCCCCUUAGUGCUGCAGCUAACGCAUAAGCACUCCGGU
rnacentral:rRNA from 1 species